rnacentral:rRNA from 1 species
UGCAUUCAGUUGCCAUCGGUAAGGCCGGGCACUCUGGAUGGACUGCCGGCGACAAGCCGGAGGAAGUGGGGAUGACGUCAAGUCAUCAUGGCCCUUACGGCCUGGGCGACACACGUGCUACAAUGGCCGGCACAACGGGAAGCGAGUUCGCGAGGACGAGCGGAUCCCUCAAAGCCGGUCGCAGUUCGGAUUGAAGUCUGCAACUCGACUUCAUGAAGCUGGAAUCGCUAGUAAUCGUGGAUCAGCCAAGCCGCGGUGAAUACGUUCCCGGGCCUU